AUCACAAACAUGAUAUUUAUUUAUUUAAAGGAAUCGUCGUUUCUUUUAUAAUGCCAACAUUUUUGAGCGGCUGGCACAAUGACGAACGAACGUACAUAAAAGAUCUCUACAGUAAGCGAUGAAAUACUUUCAAAAAGAAAUAAUAUUGAAGCGACAAUCGUCAAGUGCAAUUUAUAAUAAUGAUUACAUACUAUUCCGUACAUUAGGUGGACGGCGGCCAAAGGUAUCUUUCGCCUGAUGACGCCGCCCCUAAGAAUAAAUCGCGCGAGCGGACUAAUGACCCUGAUCGGUGCGCGAGCGGCAUUCUCGAGAGGUUCGCGAAAUCGAGCGGAUCGGUUAAUUGCCGCGUAAUCGCCGGGCAAGAACGAGGCCCCGGUGAAAAGCCUUCGACGUCCUCAGACCGGGGUAAACCUUUUCAACCGCGCGCUCUCGUCGCGGCAAUAUUUGCAUCCGGUAAUUGGAAGGAUACCGCCCCGUCGGCACAGCUAAGGAACCUAUACAGCCUCUUUCGGGAGAGAGAGAGAGAGAAUGAGGAGGAAAGGCAAAAGGAGGUGGAGAAACGGUGGAAGAGGCGGCGCGGCUCGUUCGAGCGGAGAGCACGACCAUUCUGAAACACAUGUACACGAGGAUUCAACCUUCUGAGAAGCCUUGCAUCGCUGCCGCCCCCGCACCGAAAAGAAAGGCCCUCACCAUCGUGUAAACGUCGUGAUAAAAGAUCCCGAGAAAUUCUGCGGUAAGCUGAAUCGACCGAAUCCACGAUGCGACGCAACAAAAUGCCAACGUCGUCGGAAAUUAAGCCACUCGAUAAAGACGAUCGUGGCAAUCCUGUGAAUUACUCGAUUGGUCGUAUCGGAUCCGAUAACAAAAAGUUUCUAAGAGGAGAAAUAGUCGCGCAGGUUGGAGAUUUAAGGUGGCAAGGAUGAAAGAUUUCGUUUUAAUCCGUGAGAAAAUACUGAGAAUACUGCUGUUGAAAGGUUUACUACGCAGUGAGAAACUAACACUAUCAACGAAACGAAAGAAGCGUUGCACAAUGGGCGCCGGUUCGUGACCAUCCUGCAUGGAAUCAGUUAGCAAUGGACACACCGUAAUCGACAAUUUUUUUUAAACUCGUAUAUACUUUCGUAAUCUCUGUACAAUAUAUAAAAAGCUAACUAGCUUUUAGUUACAACAUCAAAUGCCACUUGCGAUUAGUUUUUAAAUUUCUCCGUCAUUGUAGGAAUCGAUGACGACAUAGUGUUACAACUGUUCUAUGGUAUAUA